rnacentral:rRNA from 1 species
ACGGGUGAGUAACACGUAGGCAACCUGCCUGUAAGACUGGGAUAACUACCGGAAACGGUAGCUAAUACCGGAUAGCUGGUUUUCUCGCAUGAGAGAGUCAUGAAAGACGGAGCAAUCUGUCACUUAUGGAUGGGCCUGCGGCGCAUUAGCUAGUUGGUGAGGUAAUGGCUCACCAAGGCGACGAUGCGUAGCCGACCUGAGAGGGUGAACGGCCACACUGGGACUGAGACACGGCCCAGACUCCUACGGGAGGCAGCAGUAGGGAAUCUUCCGCAAUGGACGAAAGUCUGACGGAGCAACGCCGCGUGAGUGAUGAAGGUUUUCGGAUCGUAAAGCUCUGUUGCCAGGGAAGAACGUCUUAGAGAGUAACUGUUCUAAGAGUGACGGUACCUGAGAAGAAAGCCCCGGCUAACUACGUGCCAGCAGCCGCGGUAAUACGUAGGGGGCAAGCGUUGUCCGGAAUUAUUGGGCGUAAAGCGCGCGCAGGCGGCUAUGUAAGUCUGGUGUAUAACCUCGGGGCUCAACCCCGGGUCGCACUGGAAACUGUGUAGCUUGAGUACAGAAGAGGAGAGUGGAAUU